UACGUAGGGUGCGAGCGUUAAUCGGAAUUACUGGGCGUAAAGCGCACGUAGGCGGCUUUGUAAGUUAGAGGUGAAAGCCCGGGGCUCAACUCCGGAAUUGCCUUUAAGACUGCAUCGCUAGAAUUGUGGAGAGGUAAGUGGAAUUCCGAGUGUAGAGGUGAAAUUCGUAGAUAUUCGGAAGAACACCAGUGGCGAAGGCGACUUACUGGGUAGAUACUGACGCUGAGGUGCGAAAGCGUGGGGAGCAAACAGG
rnacentral:rRNA from 1 species